rnacentral:rRNA from 1 species
AUGGUGGUAACGGGUAACGGGGAUUUAGGGUUCGAUUCCGGAGAGGGAGCCUGAGAAACGGCUACCACAUCCAAGGAAGGCAGCAGGCGCGCAAAUUACCCAAUCCCGACACGGGGAGGUAGUGACAAUAAAUAACAACACAGGGCUCUUUUGGGUCUUGUUAUUGGAAUGAGUACGAUUUAAAUCUCCUAACGAGGAACAAUUGGAGGGCAAGUCUGGUGCCAGCAGCCGCGGUAAUUCCAGCUCCAAUAGCGUAUAUUAAAGUUGUUGCAGUUAAAAAGCUCGUAGUUGAAUUUCAGGCCUGGCUGGACGGUCCGCCCUUCGGGUGAGUACUGUCUGUGGUCGGGUCCUACCUUCUGGCGAAGCGUCAUGGCCUUAACCGGCCGUGGCGGGGAACCAGGACUUUUACUGUGAAAAAAUUAGAGUGUUCAAAGCAGGCAAUCGCUUGGACACAUUAGCAUGGAAUAAUGGAAUAGGACAAUGGUUCUAUUUGUUGGUUUCUAGGACCGUUGUAAUGAUUAAUAGGGAUAGUUGGGGGCAUUAGUAUUCAAUUGUCAGAGGUGAAAUUCUUGGAUUUAUUGAAGACUAACUACUGCGAAAGCAUUUGCCAAGGAUGUUUUCAUUAAUCAAGAACGAAAGUUAGGGGAUCGAAGACGAUCAGAUGCCGUCGUAGUCUUAACCAUAAACUAUGCCGA